rnacentral:misc_RNA from 1 species
UUUUCAGUAGAGCAACGCUUGGAGGUAAUUAUUAUAUUUACUCAUAAAACAUUGCACUUGAUACUUAUUUCUUGCAUGUCUGUUAACUUGCAACUUAGGUUCUUAGUUUGGUAAGCACACAGAUACAUGGCUACAUAUUUCAUUUCUAUAUAAGCAGUAACAAGAAAGCUACUGUGAUUUGUGACUAUUGAGUAUUUGAACAUUACACAGUCAGUACGGUUUUUUGAGGUAAAG